rnacentral:tRNA from 1 species
GGGGCCGUAGCUCAGCUGGGAGAGCGCUGCGUUCGCAAUGCAGAGGUCAGGGGUUCGACCCCCCUCGGCUCCACCA